GCACUGCCGGGGAGUCCCACACCAGGACGAAACGGCCGUCCAGUGC
rnacentral:hammerhead_ribozyme from 1 species